GACGAACGCUGGCGGCGUGCUUAACACAUGCAAGUCGAACGAAGUGGCGAACGGGUGAGUAACGCGUAAUCAACCUGCCCUUCAGAGGGGGACAACAGUUGGAAACGACUGCUAAUACCGCAUACUGAAGGAGGGGAUUGCGUCUGAUUGGCUAGUUGGAGGGGUAACGGCCCACCAAGGCGAUGAUCAGUAGCCGGGUGUAGAGGAAGAAUGGGCAAAUUGGGAAGGAGACAAGGCCCAGACUCCUACGGGAGGCAGCAGUGGGGAAGCUUCCGAAAUGGACGAAAGUCUGACGGAGCAACGCCGCGUGAGUGAUGACGGCCUUCGGGUUGUAAAGCUCUGUUAAGCGGGACGCGGUACCGGAAGAGAAAGCCACGGCUAACUACGUGCCAGCAGCCGCGGUAAUUC
rnacentral:rRNA from 1 species